rnacentral:rRNA from 1 species
GACGAACGCUGGCGGCGUGCCUAAUACAUGCAAGUAGAACGCUGAAGGAGGAGCUUGCUUCUCUGGAUGAGUUGCGAACGGGUGAGUAACGCGUAGGUAACCUGCCUGGUAGCGGGGGAUAACUAUUGGAAACGAUAGCUAAUACCGCAUAAGAUUGACUAUUGCAUGAUAGUCAGUUAAAAGGUGCAAUUGCAUCACUACCAGAUGGACCUGCGUUGUAUUAGCUAGUUGGUGGGGUAACGGCUCACCAAGGCGACGAUACAUAGCCGACCUGAGAGGGUGAUCGGCCACACUGGGACUGAGACACGGCCCAGACUCCUACGGGAGGCAGCAGUAGGGAAUCUUCGGCAAUGGACGGAAGUCUGACCGAGCAACGCCGCGUGAGUGAAGAAGGUUUUCGGAUCGUAAAGCUCGGUUGUAAGAGAAGAACGAGUGUGAGAGUGGAAAGUUCACACUGUGACGGUAUCUUACCAGAAAGGGACGGCUAACUACGUG